AAUGAACGUUGGCGGCGUGGAUUAGGCAUGCGAGUCGUACGCGAACCCGCAAGGGGGAGAGUGGCGAACGGGGUAGUAAGGCGUAGGUAACUUGCCCUGCGGUCGGGGAUAGCCAAGGGAAACUUUGGGUAAUACCCGAUAAUCCUUUCAGCUGGAAGGCUGGAUAGGCAAAGGUGUGAUUCCACCACAGGAGAGGCUUGCGUGAUAUUAGCUAGUUGGUGAGGUAACGGCUCACCAAGGCUGCGAUGUCUAGGGGAUGUUAGCGCAUGAUCCCCACCACUGGGACUGAGACACUGCCCAGACACCUACGGGUGGCUGCAGUCGAGAAUCUUCGGCAAUGGGGGCAACCCUGACCGAGCGACGCCGCGUGUGGGAUGAAGGCCCUUGGGUCGUAAACCACUGUCAGAGGGGAUGAAGUGCAUGGGGGUUCUCCCCCGUGUUUGACAGAGCCUCGGAGGAAGCACGGGCUAAGUUCGUG
rnacentral:rRNA from 1 species